rnacentral:rRNA from 1 species
CAGGACGAACGCUGGCGGCGUGCCUAAUACAUGCAAGUCGAACGGUCUUUCUAUGGAAGCUUGCUUCCACUGAAAAGAUAGUGGCGAACGGGUGAGUAACACGUGGGUAACCUGCCCAUAAGAGGGGGAUAACAUCCGGAAACGGGUGCUAAUACCGCAUAGUUUUCUUGAUCGCAUGAUCGGGAAAGGAAAGACGGCCUUUGUGCUGUCGCUUAUGGAUGGACCCGCGGCGUAUUAGUUAGUUGGUGAGGUAACGGCUCACCAAGACGAUGAUACGUAGCCGACCUGAGAGGGUGAUCGGCCACAUUGGGACUGAGACACGGCCCAAACUCCUACGGGAGGCAGCAGUAGGGAAUCUUCCGCAAUGGACGAAAGUCUGACGGAGCAACGCCGCGUGAGUGAAAGAAGGUUUUCGGAUCGUAAAACUCUGUUGUCAGAGAAGAACAAGUUGGAGAGUAACUGCUCCAGCCUUGACGGUAUCUGACCAGAAAGCCACGGCUAACUAGGUGCCAGCCGCCGC